CAGCUGUGCCGGGCUGACGUUUCCUUAGGUAACUGUGAUGAUUCAGGCGAUGACUAUCAUGGUUCAGUUCAGGGAAAAGGGCUCAGCCCCUUGGCCGAGCAGAGGUAUGUGCAAACAUUGCUUAGGUAAGUUAUUUCUGAGUGUUGGACUCUGCUCUCCGUUCCCAUCUCCCAGGCUCAAGAAACUUGGGGUUGGGGAUGACUGUCACUGCUGGGAGGGACAGCUGGUGGUUUUCUCAGGUAGCCUGGGCUCUGGGGAAGGGAAAGGGCACAAGGUCUUUAGGGGUCAGGGCACUUUUAAGUAGGGCUGAUUCUAUUGCUUGAGUUUCGUCCCAGGAAAAAGGUUCUUAGUCAUAGGAAAGCUUUAAAAUCAAACAGAUGCAUCAGCUAUGAGCCAGCGAACUCGUAAGUGUGCCGCUGCUGUGCUAUUGUUUGUAUUUUUAAAAGCAGGGACUCGUGUAACCCAGGCUUGAGAUAAAGCCAAGGUUGGCCUUGAACUCCUGAUCCUCAUGCCUCCACUUCCCAAGUACUAGAAUCAAUUCAAGCUCCUUCUUGAAACCCCAGUUUUGUUGUUUUGUUUUUCUCAUCUAAGAAGGGAUAAAAAUACUAUUUAUAGUUACUUCGAAGAUAAACGAUCUAGUUCUCAGAAACCUUCACAGAGGGCAUGGCUCAAAGAUGCUAGCCUGCUGGGGACUUCGUGACAAGAGUGACUAGGAACACCCUCUACCCCACCCUUUACUGGAAAGAGCGGUUCACGUAGUUCUAAUUGUAAGGUAGAUGGGUCCUCUCCGCCUGCAAGAAAUAACACUUCAUUCAUUCAGUAAAUAUUGACUGAACACUUGCUGUGUGCCAGACAUUGUCCAAGCAGCACAGGGGAUGACAGUGAACCAGACAGUGUCUGUCCUCAGAGUAUGGAUGUAUGUGCAGGACAAGGGGGUAAGGCUUGGGGCAGGAACAGAUAACAAGAGAAAAACAUAAUAAUCGAACUUAGGGCUGGGGCUGCAGCUUGUAGCAGAUCAUUUGCCUACCCCAUGUAAUACCCUGAGUUCUAGCUACUCCCCUGGAAAACAGAGAUGGAUGCUGUGAAACCACAGAGGAGAGCCAUGCUCUGUGUGCUGUUUUGGGUCAUGCAAAUUAAGCUUUUCUAAGAAGGUAUUAAUGGAACUCUAUGGAUGGAGGAAAGACAAGAGCAAUGAAAGACACGCAUUCAAGGGUUCCUUUGUAAAGAGUUAGGUCAGUGGGGCUGGGGAAGAUAUCUCAGGUAGUGAAGCCCUUGUCUUUAAUCAUGAGGCCCUGAACUCAGCCUCUAGAACUCAUGUUAAAAUGACUCUGCGGUUAAGAACACUGGCUGCUCUUCCAAAUGUUCUGAGUUCGAUUCCUAGCACCUACAUGGUGGCUUAGAACCAUCUGUGAUGGGAUCUGAUUCCCUCUUCUGGGUGUUUGGGAAGACAGAUCACUCAUAUACAUAAAGAGAAAUAAAUAUUUUUUAAAAGCCAGGGGAGUGAGUAAUCCCUGCUUUAGGGAGAUAAAGAUAGGUGAGACCUUGAGGUUCCCUAGCCCACCAGUUUAACCUUCUUUGUCUUCUGAUCCCCACUUGUGUAUGUCCCAUACACGUGUGCACCUGCACACACAGACAUAUUACUUCCCUGACAAACAGUUGGGGGUUACUAAUGUAGAGCCUACUUAAAAGGGAAAGUAGGGCGAUUGGAGAAGGGGGCAUUAGCAAAAUGAACCUCCUCUGUGGCCACACCCCUCUAAGUAACUUACACUGAAGGGUCUGAACAUUGUCUCUGGACUUGAGGCCAUGCUCCCAGGACAGUGACCUGAAUCCCUAAGCAGGUGACCCAUGGCUUGCAUAUACAUGGAGGGGGACCCAGGAUGCAGCAGAAAGCUGACUAUGGUGACUUGUGUAUUUUUUUUUAAUUAGACUGAUAGCAGGCAGCUGUCAUUGCUUUCUUAUUUUUAUUUAUUUAGUUUCUGCUCUCUGAUUAAAACUCUGGUGCUAUUUGCUGAUGCCAGGGGUCAACUUAUGUUCUGAAAACACAGCGGGGUCCAGCUGCUGACCUUGGAACCAGCUUGCUCAUAAGCUCGUGAGCAGGAUCAGUGGCAUCCGGGGCCAGCGGCUCCACUCGGCAGUGCUCCUGACUCCCGGUACCAGUUCAGAGCCCCGCUUAGGACCACGAUUCAAAGAAAGCCAUCUGCGUCUCCAAGUCAAUCCAGUUGUCCUAAAAACAGACCAAGAUUUCCUUUCAGAGAAAGACUGAUGCUCACUCAAGCCUCUCAGUGCAAUAAUAUUCUUGGGGGGCGGGGUGUGUGUGCAAAUAUUGAAACAAAACCCAGAUGAUAGUUAGGGUUUGUAUGACAGGUGACAGGUAUUCUGACCAGUCAGAUCCAUGCUCCAGUUCCAUGGAUCGUGUGGACAGAAGGAAGAUAAAUAGAAGGAUGCCUCCCAGCCCCAGGAGCAGGCACAUCUUUGACCCAAGAAACCCAGACAGGCUGGAUGAGGUUGAGAAUUCAGAGUUAGGUAAACCAGAGAUAAUGAAGUCAGCCACUAAAGUGCUUGCUGUGCUAGCAUGAAGACUUGAAUUCAGUUCCCCAGAACUCAUGUAAGACAAAAACCCAGUCUCAAUGGUGUGUAUUUGCAAUCCGAGGACUGGGGAGGCAGAGAUAGGUAGGUCCCUGGGGGAAUCACUGGUCAGCUACCCUAGCCUACUUGGUGAGCCUCAGGCCAAUGAAAGACUCCAUCUCAAAAGGCGAGGUGAAUGGUGUCUGAGGCGUAGCACCUAGGGUUGUCCUCUGGUCUACACACACAUGCACAUGUGUGAACAGGAACAAAGGUGAGCACAUACAUGCAUUUGCUUACACACGUGCAACUGCACACAUGUGCUCUCACACAGGGGGAGGGAAGAGGGAGAGAAUGAACCCCCAUAAAACAAAAGACAAUGGAUAAACCAUUGGUCAAAUACUUACCAAGGGCCAUAACACAUCAACUUUCAGGUUGGAGACAUGGUUUAGUGGUCAGGAGUAUGGCCUGAUCUUCCAGAAGACCAGGUUAAAUUUGUAGCACCUACAUGGUGUGUGGCUUACAACCAUCUGUAACUCCGUUCCAGGUCAUCCAAAACUCUCUUCUGGCUCCUGUGGCACCAGGUAUACAUGAAGUACACAGAUAUAGAUUAUAGGCAAAAUAUCCUGCUUAUGGAUUAUUUUAUGUGUAUUAAAAAUAAUUUUUUAAGCUAAAAAAAUAAAACAAACCAAAACAACAAUGACAACCAACUUUCCCCAGGGUUUAACUCCCUGAACCCAACUGUACAUUGUCUUCCUUUGUCCUCCACUCAUCCAGGAGUUCGAUGGCAAAGGUCGGUUUUGAUUGUCAACUCACUUGGAUGAAGAAACACCAAGGGCACAGCAAGUAUAGCUUUGUGUGUACCUGUCCAUGAGGGUCUUUGAAGAGAGGUUUAUCUGAGGAUGGAAGACCCACCCUUACGGUGGACAGUCUUGAAUCUCCUGGGCUAAGUGAAAAAGGAAGAUAGAAAAAAGCCAGCCCAACACUGACAUUCCCCUUCCUCUGAUUCCUGGUUAGAGACAGGAUCCAAGCCGCCGUCAUGCUUCCCCACCAUGGCCAACUGUGUUCCUCUGAACUGUGAGUCAGUCUGUUUUGCCCAGCAACGAGAAAAGUCACGGAUGCACACAUUUCUGAGGCCUGUGCUGCUUUUCCUUUCUUUUUCCUGGGUCUUCCUGAGAGCUUUCCCUUCUGAAUAACACUUGCCUAAUGCUUAUUUAUUUAUAUUUUAUGUUUAUGAGGGUUUGUCUGCAUGUAUGUAUGUGCACCUUGUGUGUGCCUGGUACCUGAAGAGGCUAGACGACGGCGUCAGAACUAGAGUGACAGAUGGUUGGGAGCUGCCAUGUGGGUGUUGGGAAUCAAAUCUGGGCGCUCUGGAAGAACCGCUCCUAACUACUGAGCCAGGGCGCAUUUAUUUAUUUCGGGCACAGAUCGGGAGUCACUAAGCACUAGAUGCCCCCCAUUCCCUUCAAGGGCUUCCUCUGGCACGCACUGAGGGCCUUGGCUGGAGCUUCGUUCCCACACUUCCUUCCCACACUCCCCCUCUGGAUCCCUGAAAAAUGUUAGGUUAAAAUAUCUCACUUCCUAAGUCUGUCUGUGGACUUCCUGAUGUUGCUGUCCGUCCCAGUGCUAAUUCUGCCACAUGAUCUCUUUGAUGUCUGGGGACUCUCACAGUAGCUAACAGACACUAUUUUCCCAGCACAGACCCAUGUUUCUCAGGCCCUAUGCCUGGGAGUGACAGCCAGACCUGUGGGUCAUAGGGUGAGGGACAAAAGGUUACAGGUCUGUUUGCUCUGUCAUCAGUGAAUGGCCACCGGGCAAAGCAAAUGAGUCAGGAGAUGAGGCUUCUACCCCUGAAGAGGGUGGUACCCAAGUCAUUCAACAAAUAUGAAACAUCUAGGGGGCGUGGGGUUCUGGACCGAGUACUGAGUAGCCUUGCCGCUGACUUGGGCGGCUAGCAAAUACACAUCUCUCAAUUGAGACCCACUCUGUGAUGCAGAUCAGGGGCCUGGCUCCUGGGGCUUGGAGCAAGGGCAAGGGCAGAGGAAAGGGGACACAGAGAUGGAGCUAGAGAAGAGAUCUACAGAUAAAAGAGUGCUCACAAAACAUCCAAGAUGUGAAUUUGGUCAUGCAGUCAAUUCUCCCGAACAGCCGAGGAACACCCCCUCCCAAAGGAAACGGAUUUAGAAGCUUCCAGUUAUGAGGGAGAGAGCAAGCCACAGCAGCAAGGUGAAGGGUUUGGCUCCAGAUCAUUCAUUCAGCCAGAGACUGAGUGGAGUUCAGGACUCUCUUAAUCCCUUCAGACAUUGUCUCGGGUAUGAAAACUGGAACCAGGAAAGCUAAGUAGGUUGGGUUUCCUGGGCAGGGAAGGACUCGUGGAUGGGGACACAAAUCAAAGGAGAGAGUGGCCAUCUGGUGUCACAGUCGUACUCGGAGCUCUUUCUUCUCCCUGCCCUUGGCCUGCUCGACGUCCUGUCUUAUCUCCCUUUUGUUUCUCUAUCUUCCUCCUCUGGUGUGCGCACGGAGCCGGCGUCUUUCCUCUUGAAUCAUUUGGUUUUCUAUUGAGUUUUGUUCCGUCAUCGAUAUGGCAGAUGGAAUGGCGGGGCCACUGUGAAGAGUUAAAAUGAGCCCGGAGGUGCGGCCUCUAUGAAGAAGGUGGUGCCCAAGCGGAAGCGCGUCAUGCCACAAAUACGAAAUGGUGAGGAUGCACGGAGUGGUCCUGCCUUGCCGCUCAGCCGGGAUUGAUGGUGUGAGGGCCAUGGAGAGAGGAGGGCAUCACCAUGGGAGGCUGUGAGGAGACAGAGCCUGAUCACCCGAACCCUCAGUUUGCUCAGUUCAUCUCUUCACUGCAAACGAAGACAGGAGAUCUGCUCACCCUCUCAGUCUCUCUGCCGAGAGACAGGCCACUUGGGAAGAAGAAAGACCCUCAGGCAGGGCUGUAAAUAGCUCUGGAAUCUGCCCUGACAGGUUGAUCCUGUGUGGACCAGCGCAGGGGCAGCCGGCCUCUGUUCCUCCUCAUGGAUUUACUGCUGCCUGUCGGACAGCUCUGAUGGCCAGAGUGCACCCUGAAGACUCCUUUGAAGUAAAGCAAGCACUUUUAAGUGCAAUCAGCUCCAGAUAACCCGGAUUCCCAGGAAUGCCUUCCCCCUCUCCAAGCCCAACCUUGGAAUCAUCCCUGACUGUCCUGGAAGUGGCUCCUAGCCUUUAGAGUCUCCGUUUGCUUUGUGGCGGCUGUGUGUUGGUUCACACCAUUCUCCUGAGCAGAGGUUGAGGGGGAUAGGUACGGUUCUAGACGACAGUCUGUGAUCAGAGUUACAGGGCAAUCCGAGGGCUGGCAAGGGAGGGAAAGACACAAAGAAAUGCCAGAAAACUCAGAAGUAGGAGUAGAGGGAAGUGUGUGACCAGGCUAGGACAUAAGGAACCAGCUCCAAUUUCCCCAACGCUUGGGGUAGUCUGAGGCUGAGGAGGCCGGAAAUCAAAGGCCUUCUGGAUGCCACAGUGGAAAUGGAAGAGGCUGUGAUAGGUGCUAGGUGCUUGGUUGAUGUCCUCACAUUAAUGCUUUCUGCAUCCAGUCAGUUCCCAUCCUGCUGUCUGUUACCACAGGCUUGCCCACUUUGGGUGUCUUGUUUAACUUGCUCAGACAGCAUUUCCUCCUGAGUGACAGCUUUUUUUUUUUUUUUUUUUUAAACUUGGCACCAUGUUCCUAAGGGCUGUCCAUACGGUGCAUGGGUCAGAGUCUCCUGAUUUUGUGAGGAGCCCACUGUGUGGAAACAGCACGUCCUCCUUCCUCCAGCCAUCCAUGGAGGGCACGAUCUGCUGAGUGCUUGUCUGAUCCCGCUAAAAGGUGAGGAUGUUUUCAUGUCUAAGAGACCCCUGGACUUGGCUCUCUCAUCGCCCUGACUUGCCAUGAUCUGGAGUUGCAACUAACGCUCUGUAUUCCUGCCGUGUUUACUACUUCUGAACAAAGGAUUUAGCUGUGAGCCUACCUUUGAUGAGCUUCUCAAAAUGAAAAUGUGAUAAGAACCACAGGUUUUAUAGUUAAAAAUAAACAAAAAUGAAAAAUCUUUUAAGG